UUCCAAUCCAGAUUGGUAGGAUAGAGGACUGGAAAUCC
rnacentral:tRNA from 1 species